rnacentral:rRNA from 1 species
CCUACGGGUGGCAGCAGUGGGGAAUAUUGGACAAUGGGCGAAAGCCUGAUCCAGUCAUGCCGCGUGUGUGAAGAAGGCCUUCGGGUUGUAAAGCACUUUCAGUGGGGAAGAAAGCCUUGGGGCUAAUACCCUCGAGGAAGGACAUCACCCACAGAAGAAGCACCGGCUAACUCCGUGCCAGCAGCCGCGGUAAUACGGAGGGUGCGAGCGUUAAUCGGAAUUACUGGGCGUAAAGCGCGCGUAGGCGGUCUGAUAAGCCGGUUGUGAAAGCCCCGGGCUCAACCUGGGAACGGCAUCCGGAACUGUCAGGCUAGAGUGCAGGAGAGGAAGGUAGAAUUCCCGGUGUAGCGGUGAAAUGCGUAGAGAUCGGGAGGAAUACCAGUGGCGAAGGCGGCCUUCUGGACUGACACUGACGCUGAGGUGCGAAAGCGUGGGUAGCAAACAGGAUUAGAUACCCUUGUAGUC